UUUGCUCGCUGCAACUUUGUGAAGGGCUGCAGUAUUGUGACUGUAUUAAGGUAGCAUAAUCAUUAGUUUCUUAAUUAGGGGCUGGUAUGAAGGGUAAACGAGAUGGUGGUAUAUUUUGGGAAAAGUUGAAAUUAAUUACUAUGUGAAAAAUCAUAGGAAAGAAAAAGGACAAGAAGACCCUAAAAGUUUUAUUUUAUUUUAUAAGAGGUUACAGAGGUUGAGUGGGUGAACUUAAGGGUAAUUAGUGCAGGUGUGAGAUGAAUUUUGGCUGGGGCGGCAUGUUUGGAAACAAAAUUUAUUUAUAAUUUAAUUGGGCGGUUGAUAGACCUGAUGGGGUCAAAUGAACAAUAAAUUACUUUAGGGAUAACAGCGUGAUUAUUUUUGAGAGUUCAUAUUGACAAGGUGGUUUGCGACCUCGAUGUUGGAUUAGGAUGAAAUCUGGUGCAGGAGUAUGGAGGUUU
rnacentral:rRNA from 1 species